AAUAGAUACCCAGGUAGUCCACCCCGUAAACGUUGGGAACUAGUUGUGGGGUCCUUUCCACGGAUUCCGUGACGCAGCUAACGCAUUAAGUUCCCCGCCUGGGGAGUACGGCCGCAAGGCUAAAACUCAAAGGAAUUGACGGGGACCCGCACAAGCGGCGGAGCAUGCGGAUUAAUUCGAUGCAACGCGAAGAACCUUACCAAGGCUUGACAUACACCGGAAACGGCCAGAGAUGGUCGCCCCGCAAGGUCGGUGUACAGGUGGUGCAUGGUUGUCGUCAGCUCGUGUCGUGAGAUGUUGGGUUAAGUCCCGCAACGAGCGCAACCCUCGUUCUAUGUUGCCAGCACGUAAUGGUGGGAACUCAUGGGAUACUGCCGGGGUCAACUCGGAGGAAGGUGGGGAUGACGUCAAAUCAUCAUGCCCCUUAUGUCUUGGGCUUCACGCAUGCUACAAUGGCCGGUACAAAGGGCUGCAAUACCGUGAGGUGGAGCGAAUCCCAAAAAGCCGGUCCCAGUUCGGAUUGAGGUCUGCAACUCGACCUCAUG
rnacentral:rRNA from 1 species